UCUAUCUCUCCACCUCUCUCUUCUCUCUCUCUACAAACACCUCCAAAUCUCGAUCUCCCCCCUCCACUGAUCUCUCCGUCUCUAAUCGACCACCAAAACCACCCCUUCCGCUCCGAGUCCUCGUCGCCAUGUCGCCAUCUCCGGCGAACAGCCUUCGCCGUCACCUCUUCCUUCUUCUCCAUACGUGUCGCCAGCUCCUACCCCAGGCGAGUCCAGCCGCUGCUCCGAUGGCUAGCAUCCUCCCUUCUCACCUUCCACCGGUGAACAGCGCCGCCAUAGACGGAGACGGCCAGCCAAGCCUCCACACGGCCGCUCCAUCCUCCAUCCUCCAGUCGCCUUCUUUCUCCCCUCUGGCCAACGUCCAACAGCCGUGACAUAACCUCGACUCCUCUCCCACAGCGAUACCUCCGGCAAACCCCUUUGGCGUUCCAACCAUUCAACCCUUCCUCAUCAAAAAUGAAGAAUCCGUCUUCAGGUUGGAUCUCGUGUUCGAAAUAUGUGUGUGUACUUUAGUACUAUUUCUUCAUCUGUGUCUCUCAUAAGUGUGGCCACGUUUGAUUUUUGCUGAAUAAAUGCGUUGAUUUUAAGUCUGUGAUUUUUAUUCGACCCUAUUUGCAUGUCCUGCUUGAUUGAAAUUUUGUGACGCUUAACUUGAAUGGUGAGUCAAUUUGUUCGUCUCUCUCUGGUAUGUGCAAACAUGCCUAACUUCUUGCAACUUCACAUUUUUAUGCCUCUUAGUCAAUAUGGGUAAUUUUGUAUGGGAAAAGCAUGUAUGUGACGAUUCAAGGAUUUUAUCGUAAAUCUUUAAUAAGGCUAAUAUGUGCACGUUUUGACUGUUUGGGUAUGAUCCUGUACCAACUUGAUUUGAGAAAAACAUCUUAGUAAUUGAUUUUUUAUUUUUCUAGCCUUACUUGGUUGACAGACAUCCCCUCACACGUUAAAUAUAGUAAAUUUAGAUACCUCUUCUUCAUUUCAUUUAAUAAGUAGGAAGGAUCUCUUUUUACUUGUUCUAUUCAUGGAAAUUUCAAACGUUAUAAUAGGGUAUUAUUUAUUUGUGGCAACUAUAACAUUAUUGGUGGAACGGAUUGAUUUACCCCAUCCAUUUAAGGGAACAAUCCCCUUAAUUGAUUCAUUAUAUGUUAUUCUUCUUCCAUUAAAUAUUAUUCUUCCUUCAUUAUUUUGGAUUGUCGACGGCCCUCCGCACUAAAUAAACUCACCAUUCUCUUUCUCUAAGAGGACAAACUUCUCCUCCGCUAUUACUCCCUCUAAUUUCUCUUAAAAGUACUUUGAAGUUCUUUGGCACUAUGGAUUUCGAAAAACAUUCGGUCUUAUCCUUGCUGCAAUUGCUUUGGGUUCUAUUAUUAUUGUUUGGUGCCUAAUCGGUUAGUUUCUAUCGACGCAUUCUUUUCUUAUUUUGUAGCAUUUGUGAUAGCAAAGCAUAGAAAGCAUGUCUAUAGGAACUAAUUUAAAAUAAUUAUGAUUUUGAUUUUUUCACGGUCAUAAGAAGAUUAAAAAAAAGAAAAGAAUAGCUUACUAGAGUGUACUAUAACCAGUUCUAGCUGUUUUCUUGAACAGUAGCACAUUUGGUGCAAGUUGAAGACAUUCUGGGUAUUGCUGUUUGUAUUUUCUUGUUCUGUGUUUGCUUUGUUUGACUGUGGUUUCUUGUGAAAGUUUUGUCAUAAUUGAACACAACAUAGGGUUUUACUUUUAAUAGCUAUUUUCUACUUUCUUUCUGAUAAUUUGUUGGGUUUUUGCUUUUUUUCUUGCAUGAAAAUGUAAUUUCUUUUUCCCCAUUUUCUUUUUUUGCGCCAAGGAGGGUGAGUGAUGUGGUGGGUAGAGGGGCCAGUUGGGGGUUCUUUUGUUUAAUUCUUUCAAAAUUAAUGUGUAGAUAAUGUUUGAUAGAAUCUUAUUGGGAAAACAAAGUGUGUGAAUCACAUAGCUCAGCUAGAGAAAUGAAUGAUAGUUUAGCCACUAUUACUGAAAGACAACCUCAAAGGCAUUGUGAUUGUGUGGGCAUUUUCUUUCAGCUCUUUGAUCGGAACCGUAGAUUUGCCAAGAAGCUGUUUCCAAAGUAACUGCUUUCCCUAGGUUUGCUACUACUACAUUCCACUCAUUUUUCAAGCAGAAUGGUUAAUUUCUUGAAGUUGAUUCUAGCUAGAGGGCUAAAUUAUUUCCUUUUUUGUGCUGCAUUCUUAUAGAUUGCUUGAAACAAGCUUCAAAAACUUUGGAGGGGAUGAGAAGCAGCCAAAGCUUCGUUUGGUACUCAUUUCUUGAACUAUACUCCCACAUUUAGCUUUCUUUUUCUUCUAUUGUCUCAGAUUUUUACCUGACAGGAAAGUUUUUGUUUUUAUUGUUUUUGGUUCUUGUAUGAACAAAGUAGAUUGCUGAUGAGAAUAGUGGGGGUUUUCCAAAUGCAAAGAAUUAUGGAAUGACCGAUACACGUUGUGAAAGCUAGCGCGAAAUGAAAGCUCCAAGUUUUGUUGCUAGGCUCAUGGGUUUGGAAUCGAUGCCAGCAGGAUCAGGCAGUAAGCCCCAAAAGGCUUCAGCUUCUGAAACUUGGAGCAAUGUGGCAGACAAACUUGGUGCUCGACCUGGCGGAUCUGAUAAAGAAGAUAUGGAUUUUGAGAUGGCCGAAAUAAAGAGUUCAGAACCAGGUUUGCAAAGGUUUAGGGCUAAAUGUGCUCUCACUUAUCCUACUAGAUAUUUUUCCUUUGGAAGAUGAAGCAGAUUUAGUUGGGAAUUCACUUGAUCACCAUUUAAGUGACAGCUACCUCUCCAGCAGUCCCAAUAGUAGCUCAAGUAUGGUCCCCGAUUCGACAUUUUACUAUUUGCAUACUUCCUUUCUUUCCGUCAAAUACGUAAAUUAAAAAAUAAGACAACUCUGAACUUGGAACACCUCAUACAAUGUAUCUCACUACCGAAACUAUGAGGAGAACUAUUCAAUUAGACAAAAAUCUAGCAAGUACGAGAUAUUGAAUGUAUGUAUUAUUUUGAAUUGCUUUAUAUUGCAUAAACGCGAUGUUCCUUAGUUGAGGUUUUUGUUUGUACCUUUGUUGUUUCGUGAUGUACUUAACGAACUUGUUGUAACACCCCGUAUUCAAGUACGUGUAUUGGCGUAUUCAAGUACGUGUAUUGGUCCUAUUUAUAUGGAAUUAAUUUUUAUUUAUUUAUACCAAAAUUUGCCCGUAGAUGGUUCCGUACAAAGGUUAUUGAAAAAGUUUCCAACGAUACAAAGAUUUCCAAAAACGGAUAGGUUUCGGAUAUAAUCGAGCACGUUCGAAACUAUAAAACGGUGGCCGGGAUAUUUGGGACUAGUAAAUGUGCAGGAAAAUUUCCUGCACACAAACUACUGAGGCCAGCCGAAUUUUUUGGUCAAAUUUGAACGAUUAUAACUACCUUAAUAUAAUGAAAUGGGAGAGAUGCGACCUAUGAAAAGAAAUAUCUUUUAGUCUUCUUUCCAAUGCAAUUGGUUUCAUCCAAAUCCAAAGUCUGAGUAAGGAGUUAUACUUGUUUUACUUUGGCCUAUCCAAACAGAUUUUUAGGGUCAACUUCAAAUGACCAUAGCUCCUUGUACAGGACGAACUGGGUGGCCUACUUUAUAUUAAAUAAAAUCCAUUUGAAUUAUCCUCCAACGAUACCAAUUUCACCCAAAUCCGAUAUCAGAGCAAAGAGUUAUGGUCGAUCUACUUUAUCAUAUCAAAACAGUCCACCAAAGGACAGAUUUGACAUUAUUUAAAUUUUAAAGGCAUUUUGGUCAUUUCCUAUUAUAUUAUGGACGGGAAUAUGUGUAUAUAUACAUGUAUUAGAGUUCAAAAACUCAUUUUAAUCGUCAAUCACUGAGAAAGAACAAACCCUAGCCAAAUUUGACCUUUAAAUUACUUUUGAUUCAACCGUAGAAAUUCCAAAGUAAUCCGAUAACUGCGUUUGUCAUCUCGAGAGCUUCGAACGGCUCCUAUUAUUUGUGGAAACAGGAUUGGAUAAUCAAGAGGUGAAUUCUAAGGUAUGCAUAUUGUUUGCCUUUAUUCUUUUCCAUAUGUAUAUGUGUGAUAGAGGAUUAUAUGUAUUGGUUGUUAUUGAAAGGUGAUGGAAAUAGGGUUAUGGACUAUGUUGCAUGGUUUGGUUGUAUUUAAUUGUGUAAGGUGGAUAUGGUAAUUGAGUUAUGGCAGGUGGAUAUGGUGAUAUACUAUUGAAUUGAUGAUUAUUUAUGUCGAGGGCUCAAUUUGGUUUAAUGGAUUGGUUGGAAGGAUAAAUGAAUCCAAACUUGAUAUUGGAGGAUGUUGUAUGAAUAUGCAUGGCAUGUGAAUGUAAUUGGAGUAUAAGAGGGUUAAAGUGACACCCUUUAUGGUGUAAUUAAGGCUUACUACUUAACCACUAGUUUGGUGAAUUCAAAUAAUUGAAUUGUGACGUUUGGUCGCUAAUACUAGAUUGCUAUAUAUGUUCAUUGUAGAUAAGUAAUCCGAAAAGACGAGAAGUCCAUUUGGGACUAGUAUUGAAGGUUGACAGUCAGGUAUGUAAAGCAUACUCUAUACCAUAUCUUUGGCAUGAAAGUGAACAAUUGUUCUAUUAAGAAAGUUUCCAAAGUUAUUCAGUAACAUGUGAUCCAUAAUGGUUUUGUAUGAUGUCCUACGUUACCAAUGAACUUGUUUCCACUCUACAAGAUGUAAAGACAUUCCCAUACUUACUUGUUUUCCAAAUCUUACAUGUUUAUUGCACUAAUGAAUGUCAGAAGGUAUCCGGUUACUCAAACAAGAUCCAUGUGCUAUUAAUGACUCCAAAACGUUUCGUUGAUAUACUAAUAAGUUCCUACUUCAUUGUUAUGGCAUUGAUGACUCCAAAACACUUCAUUGAUGUGCCAAUGAGUUCUUACUUCAUCAUUAUUCCAUUGAGGGUCUAUUUAUAUGUCUCUUAUUGAUGUAUCAUUGUUACAAAGUAUCAAAAAUGCGGCGGCGACCGAAAUAACAAUCUCAAAAAUUCAUUGAACUAAGUGAUGGAAGUUCUCUCUUAUUGGAUGGUAUCCCAGGGACAUAAGCCUAUCAUGGGUUGAUCCCUAUUUAUGUGUUUAUGUGUGGUAUCCCAAGGGCAUAAGCCUAUCAUGGGUCGAUCCCAGUUGAUAUGUACUGGAGGCAGCCAAAUGGUCACAGUAUAGUACAGUAAUGAUUACAAAGAUGAUAAGAACNNNNNNNNNNNNNNNNNNNNNNNNNNNNNNNNNNNNNNNNACAAGUUCUAGUAAGUGUGGUCCACUCCUAUUACGAUUUAUUCACUUGUUUCUAAUUUUUAUUGAGCUCCUAUAUCAUAUGUGAUUUUAUACAGCUUUACAUACUCAGUAUAUAUUUUGUACUGACGUCCCCCACAGGGGACCUGCAUUUCAUGCUGCAGGCACAGGUACUUCAGCUCAUACACCGCACAAGUAGGAGUCAGGAUAUCCAGCUGGUUUUGGUGAGCUCCAGUUUGCUUCGGGGCUUUCCGUGUCAUGUCCAGUCACUUUUGGUAUUGUAUAGAAGUUAGUUAUAUGGCGGGGUGUGUCCUGACCUUAGUUAAACUCUGUGUAUUGUAUAGAGGCUUUGUAGACCUAAUGUACAGUCAAGGUGAUGUUUCGUUAAUAGAUGUGAUGGCUCCAAUUGCCAAGUAUUGUAUAUACAUAUAUAUAUGUGUGCUCGAGCUUAUACAAGUGAUUAUUUCCUUUUAUAUACGAUAUGAUGCUGUCCGAAUUUCGAGUUGUCAUAGAGGUAUGCAUGGGAAGUAUAAGGUGAUGAGCUGGUUCUCCUGGGCCUCCUCGGUUAUGGUUCCAGUACGCCCCAAUAGGAUUUGAGGCGUGACACUUGUGAUGUUGAACUUGACUUGUAAACUACAGAAAUGGAGUCAUCUAAAGAGACAGGUUGUCGAGCUCCAGAAGACCCCGUCCUCUGCAUCAACGACUGUGAUGUUUUCGGUAGUGCAACUACGAUGAGUAUGUGUUCCAAGUGUCAAAAUGACAUAAUACUACUGAAGUAGGAACAUGCAAAUCUUACAGCUGCAUUCAACAAAAAUGUCGUAUGCAGAAGCUCAAGCAGCGAUGAAUCAGAACUUGCUCUUGCAGGUGCGGCGGUUGCAUCUGCAGAUUUUGCCUCUCAUAUUUCACAAGUGAACUCAAAAGAAGGUUUGAAAAAGUGCACAGCUUGUCAUAAGCAUGUGGGAUUAACGGGGUUCAGUUGCAAAUGUGGUGAUCUAUUUUACGCAGUUCAUCAUUAUUCAGACAAACACAACUGCCCGUUUGAUUAUAGGAAUGCUGGUCAGAAUGCAAUAGCAAAAGCAAAUCCUAUCAUCGUAGCAGAAAAGCUUAAUAAGAUCUAACAAGCACCUAUCGAAAGGUUGUAUGAACUGAAGCAAUGUCCAUAUUUCGAUGUGUAGGCCUCGUCUUACCGGGUGAUGAUGAAAGUUUUGCAUGGGGGUGGGGGUGGGGGGUACCCUAGAGCCUAGAUAAUCAUGCUGUGUAAGUUAUUUAUGAUCUUGGUGCACAUUUUCAUGGAAUUUGUUCUUGUUUUGUCCCAAUUUCUGGGCUGCUUGUUUAGUAUAAUAUGCAUAAUGUAGGUCAUCUUGAUGAAUUUCACAUUCAUACAUCUGCGUUUUGAAAUCCUGAAUUUGCCUCCGUGCAUUCUUCAAGAUUCCAAAGUCUCCUUUGAGUAUCAAUAAUGUAGAGUUUUUUUUUGUGGAGAUGUCGAUACGGGUUGGCUCAGCUUAUCCGAGCUAGCCCAGACGGGCUUUGAGUUUGACAAGUCAGGUUGGGCUAGCCUAUCAAAAUGAUGAGCCAAAAAAUAUCAAGCCCACACUAUUACUAUGUGGGUUGCGGGCCUUACGGGCCAGUCCACUUUCAAAAAAUAAUAUUUUAUAAUUUAAUUUUAGAAUGUUAAUAGACAUAAAUAUUAUCAAUCAAUAUUACAUAGUAUUAAAUACUUUUUAAUUAAGUCUCCAACACACCCCAAAAUACUCAUAAUAACAAAAUUAAAUAACUUUUGACAUAAUAUCAUUUGAACCAAAUAAAAAUACUAAUAAGCAAUCUAAAUAAUUGCAUGUAAGACGACUUUGUACGGGACAAGAAAAAUUAUAAAGAAAGGAGUCAUCGUUCAAUAGGCAAAGGUCACUCGGAGAAACCAAAAUAUAAAUCUUCUCGGGAUCAUGAUUACCAAUCUUAUUCAUCACGAGAGAAGAAUUGUAAUAGACACCAUUAGCUUAGAGCAGCCUGGCAAGAUGUUACCAUGCCCAAUAUGUUCUCUUUAUGGAGUGUAGCUACUGCUCUUUGCAUAAUAGCUGAGGGUGCCCCCUUUAUUAGUGAAACUGUACCACACCCUUUUGCAUAAACCAAGGUCUCUCAUAAUCGCGACAUUGAUUUCAACUAUUUUCAUAUAGUUCCCCUGAACAAUUAACAUCCCCAUGCUGUACAAAUAUAUUUGGUCUGCACAAACUAUUUAACAUUCAAUUAAUUAUUCUCGAAAUAGAUUUCCUAGUUUAAAAAUAAAAAUUCAUACAAAUGUGAUGGUAUGACUCCCACGUCCCUUUUCUCCUUCCUUCAAUUUACGCAGCCCUAUAUUAUGUGAUAAGAAAGUAAGAAACAAAUAGAAGGAUAAAACAACAAUAAAGCUAGAAAAAAACGUGUAAGUUUAUAUAAGCUUGUGGGACUUAUAUCAUUGUAAGUAGACUUAUUCAUGAGUACAAAAAAUACAUUAUGAUCACCAUGUCGGUACACAAAAAUAGUACUCCUAACAUAUUAGACAAAACAUCAUUGUAAAAGUUACAUGAUGAUCACUACGGCUAUACACAAAAGUAGUACAGUACUUCUACAUACUACUUGAAAAAACACCAUUCCAACUUCAAAAUAAAGAGCUUUACCAUAAUAAUAACCUAUAUCAUUGUUGAAGUAGAGCCAAAUCUUUAUUGAUGAUAUCAAUAUCACAAUGAAGUUGGAGACGAAGGUUUUCUUCUCUUUCUAGUCCAUCUUUGUUCAAAUGAGGCACUUUGUAAUUAUUGUCGCCACUAUCUUUCAUCACCUCAAUCAUACAAGACUGUAAAGUAAGAAAUACAUGAUUGAGUUGUUUCGCUUUCAUUUCAUCAAAAGAUCUUUCCACUACUUCAACUAAUUCAUCAACAUUUUUAGGGACCUUUUGAUAUUGAAGACUUUGGAUUGCUCUAAAAAAACCAAGAUCUAAAACAUUUAAAUCAGGACUAUUCGAUGGUUGAAAACACAAUCUAAUGUCAAAUCCAUCUUGUCGGGCAGCUUCAAUAAAUUCCAAAUCAUUGUUACCAAUAUGUAGCCUUGCAUUAUCUUGUUGUAAAAAGAUAGGAUUAUUUGAAUCGGAAGCUGGCCAUUUUGCUCUAAUAGCAGGAAGAACAUUCUCUAUCAAGCAAGCUCUAGUGAUAUCUUUAGUUACUGACUGAAUGGGCUUUGUUUCCAUAGUUCCUGCUGUUCGAUUUUUGCUAUUCCGCUUAGCUGGUUCCUUAACUAUAAACGAAAAAAUACCUAUUUUUCCAGAAAACAACUCAAUUCCAUUUUAAUCAAAUCGAGGACGUGCUACAACAGCCAUAAACAUAACCUUUGGAAUAAAAUUUUUACUUUUGUAAGAAUGAUACGGAUCUCGCUCAUGCCCUCCAGGAAAGCAGGUAGUACCUUUCAACUUUUUUGGACAAAAAAAACCACUUUUCGUCGAUAUGAACGUAAUUAAACAUAUUCAUAAACAUGGGAUUUAUGUGAAUUGUAUUCUGAUCAAUCAUUGAGAGGCAGUAUUGAAGUCGUACCUUUUUGUUUCCUUCGGUUAACUGAGGCUUGAUGGAAUUAGAAUGUGGCCGAAGAGUUCCAUCUUUCACACACCGAAAGACGGUUGAUUUUACGUUAUCGCAAAAGCCAGAGAUCGAAUAUUUAUUCGACGAUAAAGUGGAAUUUCUUUGACUUGAUUAAUGUCGACUCCAAUCCGUUUUCUUCCAAAUUUAAGAAAUUUAAUUGUUCCGAUUUAUUUAAUGUUUUGAAUUAGCUUUUUAAAAGUCAGUAUUGGAAGCCAAUUUCGACACUGUGAUGUUGACCCCCAAUUUUGACCUCCCAACACUACAUUUAGUCUGUUAUUUUAACAAAAUCGUUAAUUUUUAAACAUUAGUAUUUUUGCAUAAUUUCUUGCAUCAAACAGAUUUUCGACAUAUCGCAUUCAUAAUUUAGAAAAUGCAUAAAUCAUCAAUUAUCUUUUAGAAUUGUGUUUUUAUAAUAUUAUAAAAUUAAAAAUGGCGUUUUUAUAAUUUUAUUAAUUAAAUUAUUUUCACGUAAUUAUGCACACUCCCAAUUUUGCAAAAUACAUUGUCUAGUUUUGCUUUAUCUAAUACUAUUUAUUGAUAUUAUUAUUUAUUGAUAUAGUUAUUAUAUAUAUUAAUAUUAUUUAUUAUUUAUCAUUUAUUAUUAUUAUUUAUUGUUUAAUUAUUAUUUUUUUCAUUAUUAGUAUUUAUCUUUUAUUACAUUUUUUAUUAUUUAUUAUUUAAUGUUGUUAUUUAUUAUGUAAUUACUAUUAUCAUAUAUUAUUAUUAUUCCUACUUUAAUUUAAAUAACAUCCAAUUUUGUUUAAUUUCUUACAAUUAUAGCCUAUUUUUACCCAAUCCAUUACAAUCUUAACCCAAUUUCUUACAAUUUAAGCCAUUAUUUUUCAUCCUAGCCACAUUUUAAUCCCCCUAUGACAUUAAAUCCCAGCCGUCGAUCCAAAACCAAUCCAACGGUUGACAUCAAAAGAUCUCUCAUUCCCUAUUUCAAACCUACAAACCCUAACUCAAAUUUUUUCCCCAACUUCCUCCUCUAUCUCUCCACCUCUCUCUUCUCUCUCUACAAAUACCUCCAAAUCUCAAUCUCCCCCUCCUCUCCUCCGAUCUCUCCGUCGCUAAUCGACCACCAAAAUCAUCCCCUCAGCCCCAAGUCCUCGUCGCCAUGCUGCCAUCUCCGGCGAACAGCUUUCACCGUCACCUUUUCCUUCUCCUCCAUACGUGCCGCCAGCUCCUACUCCAGGCGAGUCCAGCCGCUGCUCCGAUGGCCAGACCCCUCCCUUCUUGUCCUCCACUGGCGAACAGCGCCGCCAUCAACGGAGAUGGACAGCCAAGCCUCCAUGCUGCAGCUCCAUUCUCCGUCCUCUAGUCGCCUUCUUUCUCUCCUCCGGCAAACGUCCAAAUGCCGUGAAACAGCCUCAACUCCUCUCAGACAGUGAUACCUCCGGCAAACCCCUUCGGCAUUCUAGCCAUGCAACCCUUCCUCAUCGAAAAUGAACAAUCCAUCUUCAGGUUUGAUUCGGUGUUCGAAAUAGGUGUGUGAACUUUAGUACUAUUUCUUCAUCUGUGUCUCUCAUAAGUUUGGCCACGUUUUAUUUUUGCUAAAUAAAUAUGUUGAUUUUAAGUCUGUGAUUUUUAUUCGACCCUAUUUGGAUGUCCUUCUUGAUUGAAAUUUCGUGACGCUUAACUUGAAUGGUGAGUCAAUUUGUUCGUCUCUCUCUGGUAUGUGCAAACAUGCCUAACUUCUUGCAACUUCACAUUUUUUAUGCCUCUUAGUCAAUAUGGGUUAUUUUGUAUGGGAAAAGCAUGUAUGUGACGAUUCGAGGAUUUUUUCGUAAAUCUUUAAUAAGGCUAAUAUGUGCACGUUUUGACUGUAUGGGUAUGAAC
rnacentral:lncRNA from 1 species